rnacentral:rRNA from 1 species
UCAAGCUACAAAGGGCGCAUGGUGAAUGCCUUGGCAUCAGGAGCCGAUGAAGGACGUGAUAAGCUGCGAUAAGCUUCGGGUAGGCGCACAUAGCCUGAGAUCCGGAGAUCUCCGAAUGAGGAAACUCACAUGGGAAACCCCAUGUAUCAUUAAGUGAAUACAUAGCUUAAUGAAGGUAACCCAGGGAACUGAAACAUCUAAGUACCUGGAGGAAGAGAAAGAAAAAUCGAUUUUCUUAGUAGCGGCGAGCGAAAGGGAAAGAGCCCAAACCGGAAACUUGUUUCCGGGGUUGUGGACAUAGCAUAAAAGUGGAGGCUAUUGUAACUGAAGAGAACUGGAAAGUUCCACCGUAGAAGGUAAUAGUCCUGUAAGUGAAACGAGAAGACCACGAGUUAUGAUCCAGAGUACCACGAGACACGUGAAACCUUGUGGGAAGCAGGGAGGACCACCUCCCAAGGCUAAAUACUACCUGAUGACCGAUAGUGAAGCAGUACCGUGAGGGAAAGGUGAAAAGAACCCCGGGAGGGGAGUGAAAUAGAACCUGAAACCGUGUGCCUACAACCGCUCAGAGCCCCUUAUGAGGGUGAUGAGGUGCUUUUUGUAGAACGAGCCAACGAGUUACGGUAUGUAGCAAGGUUAAGUACUUAAGGUACGGGAGCCGAAGGGAAACCGAGUCUGAAUAGGGCGACUAGUUGCAUGCCGUAGACCCGAAACCGGGUGACCUAUCCAUGGCCAGGUUGAAGCGAGGGUAAAACCUCGUGGAGGACCGAACCACGUUGCUGUUGAAAAAGCAUGGGAUGAGCUGUGGAUAGCGGAGAAAUUCCAAUCGAACCCGGAGAUAGCUGGUUCUCUCCGAAAUAGCUUUAGGGCUAGCGUCGAGUAUGAGUAGUGGAGGUAGAGCACUGAAUGGGCUAGGGGGCAUAGCGCUUACCGAACCUUAUCAAACUCCGAAUGCCACAUACUUUGAGCUCGGCAGUCAGACUACGAAUGAUAAGAUCCGUGGUCAAAAGGGAAACAGCCCAGAUCGUCAGCUAAGGUCCCAAAGUGUAAGUUAAGUGGGAAAGGAUGUGAGAUUUCUAAGACAACUAGGAUGUUGACUUAGAAGCAGCCAUUCAUUAAAAGAGUGCGUAAUAGCUCACUAGUCGAGAGAUCUUGCGCCGAAAAUGUAACGGGGCUAAACUUACCACCGAAGCUACGGGCUUGAACUUAGUUCAAGCCGGUAGGAGAGCGUCGUAACCGGGCUGAAGUCGUACUGUAAGGAGCGGUGGACUGGUUACGAGUGAGAAUGUUGGCAUCAGUAGCGAGAUGUGGGUGAGAAUCCCACAGGCCGAAAACCUAAGGUUUCCUCAGGAAGGUUCGUCCGCUGAGGGUUAGUCGGGACCUAAGCCGAGGCCGAAAGGCGUAGGUGAUGGACAACUGGUUGAUAUUCCAGUACCACUACCAUCGUUAUUAUCGAUGGCGUGACGCAGGAGAUAGUGUGUGCUAGCUAUUGGAUGCUAGUCUAAGCGUUUAGGCAGUGAGAGUAGGCAAAUCCGCUCUCAUAAUGCUGAGGCGUGAUGGGGAAGGUUCUACGGAACGAGUACAUGAUUCCACGCUGCCAAGAAAGCGUCUAGAGAGAGAAGUAGUGCCCGUACCGCAAACCGACACAGGUAGGUGAGGAGAGAAUCCUAAGGCCGGCGGAAGAAUUACAGUUAAGGAACUCGGCAAAUUGACCCCGUAAGUUCGCGAGAAAGGGUGCCUACGAGAGUAGGCCGCAGAGAAUAGGCCAAGCAACUGUUUAGCAAAAAACACAGGUCUUGCUAAAGCGUAAGCUGAUGUAUAGGGGCUGACGCCUGCCCGGUGCUGGAAGGUUAAGGGGAAACACUUAGCGCAAGCGAAGGUGUGAACUUAAGCCCCAGUAAACGGCGGCCGUAACUAUAACGGUCCUAAGGUAGCGAAAUUCCUUGUCAGGUAAGUUCUGACCCGCACGAAUGGCGUAAUGACUUGGGCACUGUCUCAACUGUAAAUCCGGCGAAGUUGUAGUGCGAGUGAAGAUGCUCGCUACCCCGAUUGGACGGAAAGACCCCGUAGAGCUUUACUGUAGCUUAGCAUUGAGUUUUGGUAUUGUCUGUACAGGAUAGGUGGGAGACUAGGAAACCAGGGCGUCAGCCUUGGUGGAGUCAACCUUGGGAUACCACCCUGACAGUACUGAAAUUCUAACUGGCGGCCAUGAAUCUGGUCACAGGACAUUGUUAGGUGGGCAGUUUGACUGGGGCGGUCGCCUCCUAAAAAGUAACGGAGGCGCCCAAAGGUUCCCUCAGAACGGUCGGAAAUCGUUCGAAGAGUGCAAAGGCAGAAGGGAGCCUGACUGCGACACCCACAAGUGGAGCAGGGACGAAAGUCGGGCUUAGUGAUCCGGUGGUACCUCGUGGGAGGGCCAUCGCUCAACGGAUAAAAGCUACCUCGGGGAUAACAGGCUGAUCUCCCCCAAGAGUCCACAUCGACGGGGAGGUUUGGCACCUCGAUGUCGGCUCGUCGCAUCCUGGGGCUGAAGUAGGUCCCAAGGGUUGGGCUGUUCGCCCAUUAAAGCGGCACGCGAGCUGGGUUCAGAACGUCGUGAGACAGUUCGGUCCCUAUCCGUCGCGGGCGUAGGAAAUUUGAGAGGAGCUGUCCUUAGUACGAGAGGACCGGGAUGGACUGACCUCUGGUGUACCAGUUGUUCCGCCAGGAGCACAGCUGG